AUUGAACGCUGGCGGCAGGCCUAACACAUGCAAGUCGAGCGGAUGAAGGGAGAUUGCUCCUGGAUUCAGCGGCGGACGGGCGAGUAAUGCAUAGGAAUCUGCCUGGCAGUGGGGGAUAACGUCAGGAAACGGGAGCUAAUACCGCAUAAGUCCAGAGGGAGAACGUGGGGGAUCUUCGGACCUCACGCUAUCAGAUGAGCCUAGGUCGGAUUAGCUAGUUGGUGGGGUAAAGGCCUACCAAGGCGACGAUCCGUAACUGGUCUGAGAGGAUGAUCAGUCACACUGGAACUGAGACACGGUCCAGACUCCUACGGGAGGCAGCAGUGGGGAAUAUUGGACAAUGGGCGAAAGCCUGAUCCAGCCAUGCCGCGUGUGUGAAGAAGGUCUUCGGAUUGUAAAGCACUUUUAUUUGGGAAGAAGGGCAGUAAGUUAAUACCUUGCUGUUUUGACGUUACCAACAGAAUAAGCACCGGCUAACUUCGUG
rnacentral:rRNA from 1 species